GAUGAAGAACGCAGCGAAAUGCGAUAAGUAAUGUGAAUUGCAGAUUUCAGUGAAUCAUCGAAUCUUUGAACGCACCUUGCGCCUUGUGGUAUUCCACAAGGCAUGCCCGUUUGAGUAUCAUUAAAUCAUCAACUCUAAAACCUUUGUGGUUUUUUUAGAGCUUGGUCUUGAGGGUUUUGCAGGCUUUUUUUUUUCGAGUCUGCUCCCUUUAAAUGCAUUAGCGAGACUUCCCUAUGCUGAACCGUCUCUUUGACGUGAUAAUUAUCUGCGUCGAAUUUUGGUUCUCGUUGGGCUUGCUUCUAAUCGUCUGUUAAAGACAAAACGGAUUUGGGUGCAUAUAUGCGCCUUUUUCCAAAACCUUUUUUGAUCUCAAAUCGGGUAGGACUACCCGCUGAACUUAAGCAUAUCAUAAGCGGAGGA
rnacentral:misc_RNA from 1 species